rnacentral:lncRNA from 1 species
GGGCAAAGAAAGGUACAAAGAACUUUCCCUAUGUUAAGAUGACUCAUAAGACCCGUGGGAAAUGAUACAUCACUCUCAAACCAAAGGAGAGAGAAGAGAAAGAGAUGAAGAAAGGGAGCAGAGAUUAGAGAACUUGCCCAAACUCACACAGUGAGUGGCCCUUGGAGUCUAAGAAUAAACCCAGUCACUGGCACUCCAGAGGCCAUGGUUAGAAACAUUACUCCUACAAAAGGAUGGACUGCAUGGCCAGAUGAGAUACUGAUUUUCUCUCUAAAAGAGUUGAGAGUCUUUGAAGAUAAAGAGGCUACCUGUCUGUAUUCCUAAGAUCUAAAAUAAUGUCUACUAUAUAGUAGGUACUCAAUUAAUUAUUGUUGAUUGAGUGAACAAAAAAAUUAUUUUUUAAGUGUUUUUCU